ACUGUUACACCCCGGCCUAGGCAACCGGAGUGCAACACGAAAAAAGUAAAAAUAAAGAAAGAAAAACACACAAAAAAACCCCCACUAAAGCUCACCACCAAAAUCCCAAAACGAAAGUAUCGACAAAUCUAUUUACAGCUAUUUACAACAAACUAUUUCUUGACAACAAAACACCCAACUAUUUACAACGGGGGGGAAGAUCGCGACCAUGACACACUGAAACACAAGGCUUAAAUACAUAGAAGGGGCAAUCAGGGAAUGGACCACAGGAGGGAAACACAGCUGGGGCAAAUUAGACCUGACGAGACAGGGAAACGUAAACUGAAAACACUAAGAUAACACAGACUUUCAAAGUAAAACAGGAAACAUAACAGUCACGCCAAAAGCAACACACCGACAACACCAAAACGUAACAGUUCCCCCCACCCAAAAAUCAAACAUUUAACACCAAGUGAAAAGUUUGAUCCAGACAGACGAAGCCGAUGAAGGCUGGAGCGGUCCCACUGACCCUCCAGCAGACGACGAAGGCUGGAGCGGUCCCACGGACCCUCCAGCGAAGGCGGAUGAAGGCUGGAGCGGUCCCACGGACCCUCCAGUGACGACAAAGGCUGGGGCGGUCCCACGGACCCUCCCCUCAGCGAAGGCAGACGAAGCUGAUGAAGGCUGGAGCGGUCCCACUGACCCUCCAGCAGACGACGAAGGCUGGAGCGGUCCCACGGACCCUCCAGUGACGACAAAGGCUGGGGCGGUCCCACGGACCCUCCCCUCAGCGAAGGCAGACGAAGCUGAAGGCUGGAGCGGUCCCACUGACCCUCCAGCAGACGACGAAGGCUGGAGCGGUCCCUCGGACCCUCCAGCGAAGGCGGAUGAAGGCUGGAGCGGUCCCUCGGAUCCUCCAGCGAAGACAAACGAAGGCUGGAGCGAAGGCAGACGAAGAUGAUGAAGGCUGGAGCGGUCCCACUGACCCUCCAGCAGACGACGAAGGCUGGAGCGGUCCCACGGACCCUCCAGCGAAGGCGGAUGAAGGCUGGAGCGGUCCCACGGACCCUCCAGCGACGACAAAGGCUGGGGCGGUCCCCGGACCCCCCAGUGAAGGCAAUCCCGGACGAGCCCCCAUAUGUUACACCCCGGCCUAGGCAACCGGAGUGCAACACGAAAAAAGUAAAAAUAAAGAAAGAAAAACACACAAAAAAACCCCCACUAAAGCUCACCACCAAAAUCCCAAAACGAAAGUAUCGACAAAUCUAUUUACAGCUAUUUACAACAAACUAUUUCUUGACAACAAAACACCCAACUAUUUACAACGGGGGGGAAGAUCGCGACCAUGACACACUGAAACACAAGGCUUAAAUACAUAGAAGGGGCAAUCAGGGAAUGGACCACAGGAGGGAAACACAGCUGGGGCAAAUUAGACCUGACGAGACAGGGAAACGUAAACUGAAAACACUAAGAUAACACAGACUUUCAAAGUAAAACAGGAAACAUAACAGUCACGCCAAAAGCAACACACCGACAACACCAAAACGUAACA
ensembl:lncRNA